UAUGCCAGAAUCCCUUGAAGGCAGGGAUAAUGAGACUGGUUCAGCUGCAUAUAGAACUGAAGUUCUCUCCAUCAAGGAUCAACUUGCAAAAGAACAGAGCAGAGCAGAGGCAUUAUCAGCCGAGGUAUUGCAGCUGUCCGCACGACUCCAACAAUCCACCCAAGCAUACAAUGGGCUUGCACACCUCUAUAAACCAGUGUUACGAAACAUAGAAAGCAGUCUCAUCAAGUUGAAACAAGAUGGCCCUGUGACUGUGCGGUGAAUGCAGAGGCAAAUAAGCACAACCCCCUUUGUAGAAAAAUUGGUCAAAGAAGCGCAUUUUCAAUUGUAAAGUUUUUCAAACCCAUUUGGGCUCGGCUUUUUUCAUGUAUCAAGAUGUGCACUAGUGAAAAAAGUGGUAUUCUCUGUAUCAAACCCAUUUGUAGCACCACAUGUCAAAGAAACGAUUUAAAUCCCAAAAAUUUGUGGCCUUA